GACGAACGCUGGCGGCGUGCUUAACACAUGCAAGUCGAACGGAAAGGCCCUGCUUGCAGGGUACUCGAGUGGCGAACGGGUGAGUAACACGUGGGUGAUCUGCCCUGCACUUCGGGAUAAGCCUGGGAAACUGGGUCUAAUACCGGAUAGGAGCCAUUUUUAGUGUGAUGGUUGGAAAGUUUUUUCGGUGUAGGAUGAGCUCGCGGCCUAUCAGCUUGUUGGUGGGGUAAUGGCCUACCAAGGCGGCGACGGGUAGCCGGCCUGAGAGGGUGGACGGCCACAUUGGGACUGAGAUACGGCCCAGACUCCUACGGGAGGCAGAAGUGGGGAAUAUUGCACAAUGGGCGCAAGCCUGAUGCAGCGACGCCGCGUGGGGGAGGACGGCCUUCGGGUUGUAAACUCCUUUCGCUAGGGACGAAGCUUUUUGUGACGGUACCUAGAUAAGAAGCACCGGCUAACUACGUG
rnacentral:rRNA from 1 species